rnacentral:rRNA from 1 species
UACGUAGGGGGCAAGCGUUGUCCGGAAUCAUUGGGCGUAAAGCGCGCGCAGGCGGCCCGGUAAGUCCGCUGUAAAAGUCAAAGGCUCAACCUUUGAAUGCCGGUGGAUACUGUCGGGCUAGAGUCCGGAAGAGGCGAGUGGAAUUCCUGGUGUAGCGGUGGAAUGCGCAGAUAUCAGGAGGAACACCGAUAGCGAAGGCAGCUCGCUGGGACGGUACUGACGCUGAGGCGCGACAGCGUGGGGAGCAAACAGG